GGACAACCUGGGCAACACAGUGAGACUCUCUCUCAAACAGAACUAAAACCAAAACAAACCAAAAUCAAGACCAAAACAAAACCAAAAGACCCACUACCACAAAGACAAGGGUUUGCUUUCCUUAGUAAUGGGUUAGUGGAUGGCAGGGUUAAUGCACAUGUGCCUUCUAGCCCUUUUCUUCAGCAUGUCACCUCAGUAUUAUGGGACAUUACAGGCAUUUUCAAGGCAUUAACAGUGUGCUGGUUAGCUUUAUGUCACCUUGAUACAAACAACAGUCAGGAGGGAACCUCAGUUGAGAACGUACCUUCAUGAGAUCCAGCUGUAAGGCAUUUUCUUCAUGGGGAGGGCCCAGCCCAUUGUGGGUGGUGCCACUUUUGGCUUGGUGGUCUUGGGCUCUAUAAGAAGGCAAGCUGAGCAAACCAUGGGGAACAAGCCAGUAAGUAACAUCCCUCCAUAGCCUCUGCAUCAGCUCCUGCCCCCAGGUUCCUGUUUGUUUGAGUCCCUGUCCUGACUUCCUUCGAUGAUGAACAAUGGUGUGGAACUGUAAGCCAAGUAAACCCUUUCCUCCCAAGUUGGUCAUGGUGUUUCAUCAAAGCCAGAGUAACAAAAAUAAAAAAUAAAAA
rnacentral:lncRNA from 1 species